AUUCUUUGAGAAUGAGAAAGAUCCUUUUCAAGUUUGAAUUUGUUCAUUUGGGAUCUGGGUUCUUCUAUAUUUACUUAGUUUACUUAUUUUCUUUUUAUUUCUUUUUAUUGAAUAUUUUUCCCUCUCUUUUUUUAUAUCAUUCCUUAAGUCCCAUAGGUUUGAUCCUUUAGAAUUUGACCCAUUUUCUCAUUGAGCGAAGGG
rnacentral:lncRNA from 1 species